GACGAACGCUGGCGGCGUGCUUAACACAUGCAAGUCGAACGGAAAGGCCCUGCUUUUGUGGGGUGCUCGAGUGGCGAACGGGUGAGUAACACGUGAGUAACCUGCCCUUGACUUUGGGAUAACUUCAGGAAACUGGGGCUAAUACCGGAUAGGAGCUCCUGCUGCAUGGUGGGGGUUGGAAAGUUUCGGCGGUUGGGGAUGGACUCGCGGCUUAUCAGCUUGUUGGUGGGGUAGUGGCUUACCAAGGCUUUGACGGGUAGCCGGCCUGAGAGGGUGACCGGCCACAUUGGGACUGAGAUACGGCCCAGACUCCUACGGGAGGCAGCAGUGGGGAAUAUUGCACAAUGGGCGGAAGCCUGAUGCAGCAACGCCGCGUGCGGGAUGACGGCCUUCGGGUUGUAAACCGCUUUCGCCUGUGACGAAGCGUGAGUGACGGUAAUGGGUAAAGAAGCACCGGCUAACUACGUGCCAGCAGCCGCGGUGAUACGUAGGGUGCGAGCGUUGUCCGGAUUUAUUGGGCGUAAAGGGCUCGUAGGUGGUUGAUCGCGUCGGAAGUGUAAUCUUGGGGCUUAACCCUGAGCGUGCUUUCGAUACGGGUUGACUUGAGGAAGGUAGGGGAGAAUGGAAUUCCUGGUGGAGCGGUGGAAUGCGCAGAUAUCAGGAGGAACACCAGUGGCGAAGGCGGUUCUCUGGGCCUUUCCUGGCGCUGAGGAGCGAAAGCGUGGGGAGCGAACAGGCUUAGAUACCCUGGUAGUCCACGCUGUAAACGGUGGGUACUAGGUGUGGGGUCCAUUCCACGGGUUCCGUGCCGUAGCUAACGCUUUAAGUACCCCGCCUGGGGAGUACGGCCGCAAGGCUAAAACUCAAAGGAAUUGACGGGGCCCCGCACAAGCGGCGGAGCAUGCGGAUUAAUUCGAUGCAACGCGUAGAACCUUACCUGGGUUUGACAUGGAUCGGGAGUGCUCAGAGAUGGGUGUGCCUCUUUUGGGGUCGGUUCACAGGUGGUGCAUGGCUGUCGUCAGCUCGUGUCGUGAGAUGUUGGGUUAAGUCCCGCAACGAGCGCAACCCUUGUUCACUGUUGCCAGCACGUUAUGGUGGGGACUCAGUGGAGACCGCCGGGGUCAACUCGGAGGAAGGUGGGGAUGACGUCAAGUCAUCAUGCCCCUUAUGUCCAGGGCUUCACGCAUGCUACAAUGGCUGGUACAGAGAGUGGCGAGCCUGUGAGGGUGAGCGAAUCUCGGAAAGCCGGUCUCAGUUCGGAUUGGGGUCUGCAACUCGACCUCAUGAAGUCGGAGUCGCUAGUAAUCGCAGAUCAGCAACGCUGCGGUGAAUGCGUUCCCGGGGCU
rnacentral:rRNA from 1 species